rnacentral:hammerhead_ribozyme from 1 species
GCGCCACUGAUGAGUCUAAUGUAGACGAAACGCGCGUCUGGCGU